AAAUCGCAGUGAAGAUGCUGUGUACCCGCGGCUAGACGGAAAGACCCCGUGAACCUUUACUACAGCUUGGCACUGAACAUUGAACCUACAUGUGUAGGAUAGGUGGGAGACUUAGAAGCACAGUCGCUAGAUUGUGUGGAGUCAACCUUGAAAUACCACCCUUGUAGUUUUGAUGUUCUAACGUAGGUCCCUGAUCGGGAUUGCGGACAGUGCCUGGUGGGUAGUUUGACUGGGGCGGUCUCCUCCCAAAGAGUAACGGAGGAGCACGAAGGUUGGCUAAGUACGGUCGGACAUCGUACGGUUAGUGUAAUGGUAGAAGCCAGCUUAACUGCGAGACAGACACGUCGAGCAGGUACGAAAGUAGGUCAUAGUGAUCCGGUGGUUC
rnacentral:rRNA from 1 species